rnacentral:misc_RNA from 1 species
UACCGAGUGCGGGCCCUCUGGGUCCAACCUCCCAUCCGUGUCUAUCUGUACCCUGUUGCUUCGGCGUGGCCACGGCCCGCCGGAGACUAACAUUUGAACGCUGUCUGAAGUUUGCAGUCUGAGUUUUUAGUUAAACAAUCGUUAAAACUUUCAACAACGGAUCUCUUGGUUCCGGCAUCGAUGAAGAACGCAGCGAAAUGCGAUAAUUAAUGUGAAUUGCAGAAUUCAGUGAAUCAUCGAGUCUUUGAACGCACAUUGCGCCCCCUGGUAUUCCGGGGGGCAUGCCUGUCCGAGCGUCAUUGCUGCCCUCAAGCACGGCUUGUGUGUUGGGCUUCCGUCCCUGGCAACGGGGACGGGCCCAAAAGGCAGUGGCGGCACCAUGUCUGGUCCUCGAGCGUAUGGGGCUUUGUCACCCGCUCCCGUAGGUCCAGCUGGCAGCUAGCCUCGCAACCAAUCUUUUUAACCAGGUUGACCUCGGAUCAGGUAGGGAUACCCGCUGAACUUAAGCAUAUC